rnacentral:tRNA from 1 species
GCCUGGGUGGCUCAUUCAGUUAAGCAUCUGACUUUGGCUCAGGUCAUGAUAUCAUGGUUUGUGGGUUCAAGCCCCAUGUCAGGCU